rnacentral:rRNA from 1 species
CCUACGGGGUGCUGCAGUGAGGAAUAUUGGUCAAUGGCCGCAAGGCUGAACCAGCCAAGUCGCGUGAGGGAUGACGGUCCUAUGGAUUGUAAACCUCUUUUGUCAGGGAGCAAAGGGCGCCACGUGUGGCGCUUUGCGAGUACCUGAAGAAAAAGCAUCGGCUAACUCCGUGCCAGCAGCCGCGGUAAUACGGAGGAUGCGAGCGUUAUCCGGAUUUAUUGGGUUAAAAGGGUGCGCAGGCGGAAUGUCAAGUCAGCGGUAAAAUUUCGGGGCUCAACCCCGUCGUGCCGUUGAAACUGGCGUUCUUGAGUGAGCGAGAAGUAUGCGGAAUGCGUGGUGUAGCGGUGAAAUGCAUAGAUAUCACGCAGAACUCCGAUUGCGAAGGCAGCAUACCGGCGCUCAACUGACGCUCAUGCACGAAAGCGUGGGUAUCGAACAGGAUUAGAUACCCGGGUAGUC